UACGGGGGAGCAAGCGUUGUUCGGAUUUACUGGGCGUAAAGGGCGCGUAGGCGGCCACCGCAAGUCAAUUGUGAAAUCUCCGGGCUUAACUCGGAAAGGUCAACUGAUACUGCGGGGCUAGAGUGCGGAAGGGGCAACUGGAAUUCUCGGUGUAGCGGUGAAAUGCGUAGAUAUCGAGAGGAACACCUGCGGCGAAGGCGGGUUGCUGGGCCGACACUGACGCUGAUGCGCGAAAGCCAGGGAGCGAACGGG
rnacentral:rRNA from 1 species